rnacentral:rRNA from 1 species
UCGAGAAUCUUCGGCAAUGGGCGCCAGCCUGACCGAGCGACGCCGCGUGGGGGACGAAGGCCCUCGGGUUGUAAACCCCUGUCGGGGGGAGGCCGAUCCCCGGCGGAAGCACGGGCUAAGUUCGUGCCAGCAGCCGCGGUAAGACGAACCGUGCGAACGUUAUUCGGAAUGACUGGGCUUAAAGCGCGUGUAGGCGGGCCGGCACGUCGAGCGUGAAAUCCCCCGGCUCAACCGGGGAAGUGGCCUCGAUACGACCGGCCUGGAGGGGGGUAGGGGGAGCCGGAACUCACGGUGGAGCGGUGAAAUGCGUUGAGAUCGUGAGGAACGCCCGUGGCGAAAGCGGGCUCCUGGACCUUGCCUGACGCUGAGACGCGAAAGCCA